rnacentral:lncRNA from 13 species
CAUCGACAGUCCCUUCAAGUGAUCCCACCACUACCUCGACAAUAACAGUCACUUCAAGAAAUGACACCUCUCCCUCGACAUCAACAGUCACUUCAAGGGAUGCCACCAAUACAUUGACAGUCGCAUCAAAUGAUGCUACCACUACAUUUACAGUCUCUUCAAGUGAUACCAACUCUCCCUCGACUUCAACAGUCACUUCAAGUGAUGCCUCCACUCCCUCGACUUCAACAGUCACUUCAAGUGAUGCCACCACUACAUCGACAGUAUCUUCAAAUGAUACCAACUCUCCCUCGACUUCAACAGUCACUUCAAGUGAUGCCACCACUACAUCAACAGUCACCUCAAGUGAUGCUACCACUACAUCGACAGUCCCUUCAAGUGAUACCAAAACUCCCUCGACAUUAACAGUCACUUCAAGUAAUGCCACGUCUCCCUCGACAUCAACAGUCACUUCAAGUGAUACUACCACUACAGCAACAGUCACUUCAAGUGAUGCCACCACUACAUCGACAGUAUCUUCAAAUGAUACCAACUCUCCCUCGACUUCAACAGUCACUUCAAGUGAUGCCAACACCACAUCAACAGUCACUUCAAGUGAUCCUACCACUACAUCGACUGUCCCUUCAAGUGAUACCACCACUACCUCAACAAUAACAGUCACUUCAAGUAAUGCCACGUCUCCCUNNNNNNNNNNACAUCAACAGUCACUUCAACUGAUUCCACCAAUACAUCAACACUUUCUUCAAGUGAUGCCACCACUCCCUCGACAUCAACAGUCACUUCAAGUGAUGCCACCACUCCUUUGACAUCAACAGUUACUUCAAGUGAUGCCACCUCUCCCUCGACAUCAACAGUCACUUCAAGUGAUGCCUCCACUCCUUUGACAUCAACAGUUACUUCAAGUGAUGCCAUCUUUUCCUGGACAUCAACUUUCACUUCCAUUGAUGCCACCGCUUCCUCAACUACAUCAAUAGUCAUUGUCACCAAUACAUCAACAAUCACUUCAAGUGAUGCUACCACUACAUUGACAGUCUCUACAAGUGAUGCCACCACUCCCUCGACAUUAACAGUCACUUCAAGUAAUGCCACCUCUCCCUCGACAUCAACAUUCACUUCAAGUGAUGCCACCAGUAUAGCGACAGUCUCUUCAAGUGACUGCACCUCUCCUUCUACAUCAACAGUCACUUCAAGUAGUGCCACCACUACAUCGACAGUCUCUUCAAGUGAUGCCACCUCUCUCUCGACAUCAACAGUCACUUCAAGUGAUGCUCACACCACAUCAACAGUCCCUUCAAGCGAUGCCAGCACUCCCUCGACGUUAACAGUCACUUCAAGUGAUGCCACCAAUACAUCAACAGUCACUUCAGGUGAUGCUACUGCUACAUUGACAGUCUCUUCAAGUGAAGCCACCACUCCCUCAACAUCAACAGUCACUUCAAGUGAUGCAACCUCUCCCACAGCUACAUCUACAGUCACGCCAAGUAAUGCCACCUCUCCCUCGACAUCAACAGUCACUUCAAGUGAUACUACCAAUACAUCAACAAUCAGUUCAAGUGAUGCCACCACUACAUCGACAGUCCCUUCACGUGAUGCCACCUCUCCCUCAACUUCAACAGUCACUUCAAGUGAUGCAACCUCUCCCUCAACAACAUCUAGAGUCACUUCAAGCAAUGCCACCUCUCCGUCGACAUCAACAGUCACUUCAAGUGAUGCCACCUUUUCCUGGACCUCAACUGUCACUUCAAGUGAUGCCACCGCUUCCUCAACUACAUCAACAGUCAAUUCAAGUGAUGUCAUCACUACAUCAACAGUCAGUUCAAGUGAUGCUACCACUACAUCGACAGUCCCUUCAAGUGAUGCCACCACUACAUCUACAUCGACAGUCUCUUUAAGUGAUACCUCCACACCCUCGACUUUAACAUACACUUCAAGUGAUGCCACCACUCCCUCAACUACAUCUACAGUCACGCCAAGUAAUGCCACCUCUAAGGCAACAUCAACAGUCACUUCAAGUAAUGCCACCUCUAAGGCAACAUCAACAAUCACUUCAAGUAAUGCCACGUCUCCCUCGACAUCAACAGUCACUUCAAGUGAUACUUCCGCUACAUUGACAGUUACUUCAAGGGAUGCCACCUUUUACUGGACAUCAAGUGAUACCACCGCUUCCUCAACUACAUCAACAGUCACUUCAAGUGAUGCUACCACUACAUCGACAGUCUCUUCAAGUGAUGCCACCACUACAUCAACAGUCACUUCAAGUGAUCCCACCACUACCUCGACAUUAACAGUCACUUCAAGAAAUGCCACCUCUCCCUCGACAUCAACAGUCACUUCAAGUGAUGCCACCACUACAUCAACAGUCACUUCAAGAAAUGCCACCAAUACAUCGACAGACUCUACAAGUAAUGCCUCCACUCCUUCGAGAUCAACAGUCACUUCAAGUGAUGCUACCAAUACAUUGACAGUCACUUCAAGUGAUGCUACCACUACAUUGACAGUCUCUUCAAGUGAUGCCACCACUCCCUCAACAUCAACAGUCACUUCAAGUGAUGCAACCUCUACCUCAACUACAUCUACAGUCACACCAAGUAAUGCCACCUCUAAGUCAACAUCAACAGUCAGUUCAAGAGAUACUACCACUACAGCAACAGUCAGUUCAAUUGAUGCUACCACUACAUUGUCAGUAUCUUCAAGUGAUGCCACCUCUCCCUCGACUUCAACAGUCACUUCAAGUGAUGCCACCACUACAUCAACAGUCACCUCAAGUGAUGCUACCACUACAUCGACAGUCCCUUCAAGUGAUACCACCACUCCCUCGACAUUAACAGUCACUUCAAGUAAUGUCACGUCUCCCUCGACAUCCACAGUCACUUCAAGUGAUACUACCACUACAUCGACAGUAUCUUCAAAUGAUACCAACUCUCCCUCGACUUCAACAGUCACUUCAAGUGAUGCCACCACUACAUCAACAGUCACCUCAAGUGAUGCUACCACUACAUCGACAGUCCCUUCAAGUGAUCCCACCACUACCUCAACAAUAACAGUCACUUCAAGAAAUGACACCUCUCCCUCGACAUUAACAGUCACUUCAAGUGAUACCACCAAUACAUCGACAGUCUCUACAAGUGAUGCCACCACUCCCUCAACUACAUCUACAGUCAUGCCAAGUAAUGCCACCUCUAAGUCAACAUCAACAGUCACUUCAAGUGAUACUUCCGCUACAUUGACAGUUACUUCAAGGGAUGCCACCUUUUACUGGACAUCAAGUGAUACCACCGCUUCCUCAACUACAUCAACAGUCACUUCAAGUGAUGCUACCACUACAUCGACAGUCUCUUCAAGUGAUGCCUCUACUCCUUCGACUUCAACAGUCACUUCAAGUGAUACCACCACUACAUCAACAGUCACUUCAAGUGAUGCUACCACUACAUCGACAGUCCCUUCAAGUGAUCCCACCAAUACCUCGACAAUAACAGUCACUUCAAGAAAUGACACCUCUCCCUCGACAUCAACAGUCACUUCAAGUGAUACCACCACUACAUCAACAGUCACUUCAAGAAAUGCCACCAAUACAUCGACAGUCUCUACAAGUAAUGCCUCCACUCCUUCGACAUCAACAGUCACUUCAAGUGAUGCUGCCACUACAUUGACAGUCACUUCAAGUGAUGCUACCACUACAUUGACAGUCUCUUCAAGUGAUGCCACCACUCCCUCAACAUCAACAGUCACUUCAAGUGAUGCAACCUCUACCUCAACUACAUCUACAGUCACGCCAAGUAAUGCCACCUCUAAGUCAACAUCAACAGUCAGUUCAAGAGAUACUACCACCACAGCAACAGUCAGUUCAAUUGAUGCUACCACUACAUUGUCAGUAUCUUCAAGUGAUGCCACCUCUCCCUCGACUUCAACAGUCACUUCAAGUGAUGCUACCACUGCAUCGACAGUCCCUUCAAGUGAUACCACCACUCCCUCGACAUUAACAGUCACUUCAAGUAAUGCCACGUCUCCCUCGACAUCCACAGUCACUUCAAGUGAUACUACCACUACAUCGACAGUAUCUUCAAAUGAUACCAACUCUCCCUCGACUUCAACAGUCACUUCAAGUGAUGCUACCACUACAUCGACAGUCCCUUCAAGUGAUCCCACCAAUGCCUCGACAAUAACAGUCACUUCAAGAAAUGACACCUCUCCCUCGACAUCAACAGUCACUUCAAGUGAUGCCACCACUACAUCAACAGUCACUUCAAGAAAUGCCACCAAUACAUCGACAGUCUCUACAAGUAAUGCCUCCACUCCUUCGACAUCAACAGUCACUUCAAGUGAUGCUACCACUACAUUGACAGUCACUUCAAGUGAUGCUACCACUACAUUGACAGUCUCUUCAAGUGAUGCCACCACUCCCUCAACAUCAACAGUCACUUCAAGUAAUGCCACGUCUCCCUCGACAUCCACAGUCACUUCAAGUGAUAAUACCACUACAUCGACAGUAUCUUCAAAUGAUACCAACUCUCCCUCGACUUCAACAGUCACUUCAAGUGAUGCCACCACUACAUCAACAGUCACCUCAAGUGAUGCUACCACUACAUCGACAGUCCCUUCAAGUGAUCCCACCACUACCUCGACAAUAACAGUCACUUCAAGAAAUGACACCUCUCCCUCGACAUCAACAGUCACUUCAAGGGAUGCCACCAAUACAUUGACAGUCGCAUCAAAUGAUGCUACCACUACAUUUACAGUCUCUUCAAGUGAUACCAACUCUCCCUCGACUUCAACAGUCACUUCAAGUGAUGCCUCCACUCCCUCGACUUCAACAGUCACUUCAAGUGAUGCCACCACUACAUCGACAGUAUCUUCAAAUGAUACCAACUCUCCCUCGACUUCAACAGUCACUUCAAGUGAUGCCACCACUACAUCAACA